rnacentral:rRNA from 1 species
GGCGAACGGGUGAGUAACACGUGAGCAACCUGCCCCUGACUCUGGGAUAAGCGCUGGAAACGGCGUCUAAUACUGGAUAUGUCCCGUCACCGCAUGGUGUGCGGGUGGAAAGAUUUUUCGGUUGGGGAUGGGCUCGCGGCCUAUCAGCUUGUUGGUGAGGUAAUGGCUCACCAAGGCGUCGACGGGUAGCCGGCCUGAGAGGGUGACCGGCCACACUGGGACUGAGACACGGCCCAGACUCCUACGGGAGGCAGCAGUGGGGAAUAUUGCACAAUGGGCGAAAGCCUGAUGCAGCAACGCCGCGUGAGGGAUGACGGCCUUCGGGUUGUAAACCUCUUUUAGCAGGGAAGAAGCGAAAGUGACGGUACCUGCAGAAAAAGCACCGGCUAACUACGUGCCAGCAGCCGCGGUAAUACGUAGGGUGCAAGCGUUAUCCGGAAUUAUUGGGCGUAAAGAGCUCGUAGGCGGUCUGUCGCGUCUGCUGUGAAAUCCCGAGGCUCAACCUCGGGCUUGCAGUGGGUACGGGCAGACUAGAGUGCGGUAGGGGAGAUUGGAAUUCCUGGUGUAGCGGUGGAAUGCGCAGAUAUCAGGAGGAACACCGAUGGCGAAGGCAGAUCUCUGGGCCGUAACUGACGCUGAGGAGCGAAAGGGUGGGGAGCAAACAGGCUUAGAUACCCUGGUAGUCCACCCCGUAAACGUUGGGAACUAGUUGUGGGGUCCUUUCCACGGAUUCCGUGACGCAGCUAACGCAUUAAGUUCCCCGCC